AGUGAACGCUGGCGGUAGGCCUAACACAUGCAAGUCGAACGGCAGCACAGUAAGAGCUUGCUCUUACGGGUGGCGAGUGGCGGAUGGGUGAGGAAUACAUCGGAAUCUACUUUUUCGUGGGGGAUAACGUAGGGAAACUUACGCUAAUACCGCAUACGACCUACGGGUGAAAGCAGGGGAUCUUCGGACCUUGCGCGAUUGAAUGAGCCGAUGUCGGAUUAGCUAGUUGGCGGGGUAAAGGCCCACCAAGGCGACGAUCCGUAGCUGGUCUGAGAGGAUGAUCAGCCACACUGGAACUGAGACACGGUCCAGACUCCUACGGGAGGCAGCAGUGGGGAAUAUUGGACAAUGGGUGCAAGCCUGAUCCAGCCAUACCGCGUGGGUGAAGAAGGCCUUCGGGUUGUAAAGCCCUUUUGUUGGGAAAGAAAAGCAGCAGGUUAAUACCCCGCUGUUCUGACGGUACCCAAAGAAUAAGCACCGGCUAACUUCGUG
rnacentral:rRNA from 1 species